rnacentral:tRNA from 1 species
GGUGUAGCUCAGUGGUAGAGUGCUUGCCUCGAAUGCAAAAGGCCCUGGGUUCAAUCCCCAGUACC